AAGGUAGAGAAGUGAUGCUAUUGUUGAACAGACUCAUUGUUUUCACUAGUUUCUGGAAAAGGUAACAAACAAAUGCGUUCUACUGGGCGUUUGAGAAACCCAGAUCCAGUUUUCAGGGUGACAACUCUCAUCACUCCGUCUGCUCCAGGGUGUAACUCGUGGAUUCUUCCCAUUUUCCAACGAAGAGGUGCUAGGUUUUCAUCCUUUAUUAUUACCAGUCUGCCACAUUCUAGUCUGACAGAUGGUCGCCAGCGCUUGGUUCUACCUUGUAAUUGGGUCAAAUAUUCUUUUCUCCAUCGCUGCCAGAAGUCUUGCAGUUUUCGUUGAACAAAUUGCCAGUGACUUAGGCGGUUCAUCUGUUCUUCAGAGAAAUCCUUAUCUGGAAGAGACUGGAGCGAUGAUCCAAUCAAGAAAUGAGCUGGAGUCAGAGGUUCAAGGUCAUUCGGAUCAUCUGAUAUCUGUGUCAAAGGACGUGAAUUUAAGCAGCUUUCGACCUGCCAUGUGUUGUUUAGCUGAUUUCACAGCAGCCUCCCACAGACCUCCGAAGUGAGGGGCACCAGUAGCUGCAACAAGGCAUGUAACUGAUUCCGAGCACCAACGAAAUUUGUUCCGUUAUCGGAAUAUAUAUCUGAACAACAUCCUCUUCGUGCCACAAAUCUUUUCAAUGCCUGGAUGAAACUCUCCGUGGACAAAUCUGUGACCAGCUCCAUGUGGACCGCUUUAGUGCUCAUGCAUACAAAAAUGGACACAUAUGCUUUUACAGCCGGACGACCAGAUUUGAUAUAAAUUGGACCAAAAUAAUCUACUCCAGCUUUAGAGAAAGGACGAGAAAUGGUCACUCUGGAUGAAGGGAGAUCACCCAUCAAUUGAUGUACGCUAGUUGGCUUUAGCCGAGUGCAUCUAACGCAUUGAUGCACAAUAUGCCUUGCAAUACUACGCCCUCCGAGUGGCCAAAAUCUUAAUCUGACGGACGCUAACAACAACUGUGCUCCAGCAUGCAGCAUCUUCACAUGAUAAUGUUGAAGAAGUUUUUUAGUAAAAUGAUGACGAGCCGGUAGGAUGAUUGGAUGUUUCAUGCUAUCAAUCUCAUGCGAAUUGUUCAGACAUCCACCCACUCGUAAAAGGUGGUCCUGUUUGCAUAGAAAUGGAUUGAACCAUCUAAGGGGUGAUUUUACCGAUAUUGCGUUCCCUUUAGACAAAGAUUUUAAUUCUUCAGGAAAAUUCACCUUCUGGAUAUGGUAAAUAAUUAUUCUUUCUGCUUUCGAUA